UUGCCUCAGUAACGGCGAGUGAAGCGGCAACAGCUCAAAUUUGAAAUCUGGCUUCGGUCCGAGUUGUAAUUUGUAGAGGAUGCUUCGGCUUACGUACCGGUCUAAGUUCCUUGGAACAGGACGUCACAGAGGGUGAGAAUCCCGUUUGUGGCCGGCACUUCCGCCAUGUGAAGCUCCUUCGACGAGUCGAGUUGUUUGGGAAUGCAGCUCUAAAUGGGAGGUAAAUUUCUUCUAAAGCUAAAUACCGGCCAGAGACCGAUAGCGCACAAGUAGAGUGAUCGAAAGAUGAAAAGCACUUUGGAAAGAGAGUUAAAAAGUACGUGAAAUUGUUGAAAGGGAAGCGCUUGCGACCAGACUUGCCCGCGGAUGCUCAACCGGUCCUUCGGCCGGUGCACUCUUCCGCGGUCAGGCCAGCAUCAGUUCGGGCGGUCGGAUAAAGGCCUUGGGAAUGUGGCUCUCUUCGGGGAGUGUUAUAGCCCUUGGUGCAAUACGGCCCGCCUGGACUGAGGCCCGCGCUUCGGCUAGGAUGCUGGCGUAAUGGUCGUAAGCGGCCCGUCUUGAAACACGGACCAAGGAGUCUAACAUCUAUGCGAGUGUUUGGGUGUCAAACCCGUGCGCGAAAUGAAAGUGAACGGAGGUGGGAACCUUAGGGUGCACCAUCGACCGAUCCUGAUGUCUUCGGAUGGAUUUGAGUAAGAGCAUAGCUGUUGGGACCCGAAAGAUGGUGAACUAUGCCUGAAUAGGGUGAAGCCAGAGGAAACUCUGGUGGAGGCUCGCAGCGGUUCUGACGUGCAAAUCGAUCGUCAAAUUUGGGUAUAGGGGCGAAAGACUAAUCGAA
rnacentral:rRNA from 1 species